rnacentral:rRNA from 1 species
GACGAACGCUGGCGGCGUGCUUAACACAUGCAAGUCGAACGAGAGCGUAGAGAACGCUUGCUUUUUCUACAAUCUAGUGGCAAACGGGGGAGUAACGCGUAAACAUCCUGCCCUACGGAUGGGGACAACAGCUGGAAACGGCUGCUAAUAGCGAAUACGUGCCGAAAGUCGCAGAACGAUCGGAAGAAAGGAUGGCCUCUAUGUAGAAGCUAUCGCCGGAGGAGGGGCUUGCGGCUGAUUAGCUAGCUGGAUGGGUAAGGGCCGGCCAAGGCGACGAUUAGUAGGCGGCCGGCGUGGGUGGGCGGCCACACUGGCUCGGAGACACGGUCCGGACUCCCACGGGAGGGAGCCGUGGGGGGUCUUCCGCGCUGGGUGGAAGCCUGACGGAGCCACGCCGCGUGAGUGAGGACGGCCUUCGGGUUGUAAAGCUCUGUUUUUCGCGACGAAUAAUCUUGUGGUUAAUACCCAUGAGAAUUGACGGUACCGUAAGAGAAAGCCACGGCUAACUACGUG